rnacentral:piRNA from 1 species
CCCUAACCAGUAUGUCGAUGUGG